UUGGUUUUGUUUUGCAUAUUUGUUUCUAUGUUGGGGGAAAAUAUCAAAUUUGGAAAACGUAUCCUAAAGAUUCUGAGCUGUUUCAAAAGGUACAGACCUGCUUCAGUAGUGAGGGGAUUAAGAUUAGGGUCAGGUAUUAAGUGGGUCACCAAGAAGGAAAAUAGCCUGUUCAGGAGGGAAAUGGGAUUUCACUUUUGGGCCUGUUGAAUGUGCAGUGCCUGUGAUAUCCAGGAAGUAGCUGGAAAGAUCUUGUUUAAUCCUCCAGGCAAACUGCAAAAUUUAUGUUAUGGUCUACUUGCUCUAAUAUUGCACAAUAAGAAAGUGGGGAAACAGGGCAUGAAUCUAGGACAUUUGGGCUCUAAAAGCUGUUUUUUUCCUAUGUCACAAAUACCAUCUUCCAACUUUAUUGUCAUCCUUUCAAUUCUGCUCAUCUUUGGUUAAUCAUUAAUUCUUUUAACUCUAUUUGUACUCUAACAUCAUGGACAUCUCACUAUUUGUCUCCAUCAAACACCACAUCACCCUAACUUCCUGAAAGUCAUACCAAGGUCACAAGUUUGUGCUCCAUCAUUUCUGCUUAAUGAACUUUGGGCAUGUGUCCUGUGAGAAGAUAAGUUCUGAAUUGUGGCCUUCAAAACAAAAUUAGAGUAGAAAAUUCUUAUCUUGGCACUCCUUGUAUUAGUCAGUGUUUCACUGCUGUAAUAAAACACUGGAGUCAGUCUACUUUGUAAAGAAAAGAGGUUUAUUUAGCUCAUUGUUUUGGAGGCUAGAAGCCCAAGCUUAGACAGCCCCACUGGUUUGGCCUCUAGUGAGGGCCUACUGGUAGAUGGCACCAUGGUGGGAACACAUGCAAGAGGGAGAGAUAACAUGGCCAGAUGGGAGGCCAGGAUUACGUGGAGACCAGACUUGUUUAUUUUACAAAACACUCUCAAGAGAACUAACUCAGGGGUUUUCACUAACUCAGGGGCCCUUCUGAGGGCUUGCCCCCAGUGACAGAAGGACUUCCCACUAAGUUCUUACCAUUAAUAUUUCCACAUGGCCUCUACACUCCAAACUAGGGCCAAACAUACCAAUGCAUGAACCUUGGGGGGCAAAUCAUAGCACUCCCCAAUUUCCUUGUUUUGUAUAUUUCUUCCCCUUAUCACGUCCUUAUUUCAUUACAAUCUCAAUACAUUCACUGGAUAGAAAAGUAGCUAGAUUCUUUCUUGCUAAAGGGUUAUAACUUUAAUGUAUUAGCCCUCUCAGGGGCUUUGCAUUUCC
rnacentral:lncRNA from 1 species